CCUCGGUGUCUCCACAGACCUGCCCCCUCCUGCCUGUUGAGGACACCAGGCAUCAGCCAAAAUGACCAUGACACCAACAUUGGCUUUGCUGACCCUGCUGGCAGCCCCCCUGGGUAUCCUGUCCCAGGUCACACUGAAGGAGUCUGGCCCUGGGCAGGUGAAGCCUGGAGAAACCCUCAGCAUGACCUGUACUGUCUCCGGGGUCUCUAUUACUGAUAGCAACUAUGCCUGGAGCUGGAUCCGGCAGCCUCCUGGGAAAGGGCUGGAGUGGAUGGGAUAUGUAUAUCCUGCUGAUGGGAGCACAAGCUACAACCCUUCUCUCCAGAGCCGCGUCACCAUGUCUGGAGACAGCUCCAAGAACCAGUUCUCCCUGCAGCUGCGCUCCCUGACAGCUUCAGACACCGCCACGUAUUUCUGUACCAGAGACACAGUGACACAGAGCAGGGCAGGGGCUGCACAGAAAGGGGAAGCAGAGUCUGAAGAGGCAUUCAGGGCAUCUGAACACUGACUUUCCAGCUUUGCU